UUAAAAUUAUGCGGAUGAGUCUUUUUAGCAUUUAGUCUAUGUCAGUAUUGUUAAGUAUUUGAGUAAAACAAUUCAAGUACCUACUAACUACUUAUAUUAAUACCAAAUACAAUUUUAAAUACUUUUUUCCUUGAGUAUAAAGUGAUGGUAUUUAAAAUAUCUACUUAAUGUUUGCAUGUAGAUACCUACUGAAUAUUUUAAAUUUUAAAUGGUAUUUAAAAUGAAGUAAUAAAAUUAUUUGUUGUUUUUAUUACAGUUUAGAUGUACCUAAAUCAUAUUGAGUUGGCACCUCCAUAAAAAUUGGCCAAAGGACGAUGUCAACACUAGUUAUUACAACUCAUGAUCUGCUGUUAAUAUAAUAUUACCCACAUAAAAUAAUAAUAUUAUAAUAUUAUGUAAAUAAUUAGAUAGUGGAGACAGAUUGCAGGAACAAUACCAUGUCAGUUUAUAUUUUCCCAAAUCCUCUAUUCAAUCUGAUAAUAUGUUGUUAUAACAUGACAUAAUAUGUGCUAAGUGUAUGUAAUACAAUAUAAAAUAGAUGCCUCCCAAAUAUCUAUAUAUUUUUAAGUGAUGAUCAAUUAAUAUAAGUCAAUAAAACCAAACAAGUCUCUGGGUUCAGUAAACGUUUACGUAUGAAAUUAUACAUCGAAAAUAUCAUACGAUAUAAUAUCUGACGAAAAAUGAAUGGGAACAAAUCAAGUUUUAUUAUUAAUUUUUCAAAUCACCCAAGAUUAUAUAGGCAUAAUUUUGUGUAGCGUACGAGUUCGAAGAAAAUUAAAAACUUAUCGUCAAACAAUUGACAAUUUAGGUAUUUGCGACAAACGAUUAUACCUACUACUUACAACUUACCAUGCAAGUAUGGAACGCACUCUUGGAAUCUGCUGAAGAGGGUAUGUGUAGGUGUACCGUCAUUGCACUUAGGGUUCGUACGAUUUCAUGGACGACCGCGAUGAUGCUGUUCGGAAGUAAGUCCUGCCAACCCUGCCAGACACGGUGAGAUCGUGACAAUUAUUAUUUUUAUUAUUGAUCCUUACGACGACCGUUUAUCAUACGAAAUAAAUGAUUUUGGAUAGGUAUAGCUAUGAAAGUACCGACCACGCCGCAGCCGAUGACCGACAAUAAAAUUCUAUUAUUCGUCAUAGUCGGCUGUGUACACAAGAAAAAGCGAUUUCUUUCCUUAAUCUUUUUUCAUUUCGAUUAAACGACCGCCGCCGCACAUCUGUUAAUCGAGUUGACAACAAUAUAUCGAUUGAGACGACGUCAUAUCAAUAUAUCAUACAUAUUUUAUAACCAUCCGAUUUAUUACCAGAUUUUUAUCGACACUAAUUUAUUGUGAGUUCUACACAUAUCAUAAUAUUCAAUAUUUUUUGGUAAAUGAUUUGAAAAAUUAUAUUACAGCCACCCGUUAUCGAAUUAAAGACAUGAUCCAAUUCAUUAGUUGAAUUUGUUAUUUGUUUGCCGAUGUGUUUUAUCAUUUAAAAUAUUAACAAAAUAAUUUUACUUAGCAUAACAAUGACAAGGAUCUAUAAAAGUAAAAAGUAAAAAAGAUUUUGAAAUCAAAGCAAUAAUUUCAGUCACAAGGUCACAUAAUUAAUUAAAUAUUAAGAUUCAUUUACAUAAUAUUGUAUGUAAAUGUUUUAUCACUCAAAAUAUAUCGACAAAAUAUUUACCUUAUAAUAUUAAGGUGAUUUAAAUGACUUAAAAUGCAUACAAUUUAAAUACUAUAAUUUGUUUUAAUUAACCAGUAAUUUUUAUUUAAUUAAUUUUACAUAGUUCUAAACAUUUUUUGGUGUAAAAAUAAAUCGAUUGAUCACACAUGUUUAAAUUAGUAUUUACGUUGCUCGGAACUAUGACUAAAUAAUUACAAUUUUACAACAACAAAUAUAUCUAUUA